UACGAAGGGGGCGAGCGUUGUUCGGAAUUACUGGGCGUAAAGGGCGCGUAGGCGGCCAUUCAAGUCAGGCGUGAAAGCCCCGGGCUCAACUCCAGAACUGCCUUUGAUACUGGCGAUCUCGAGUCCGGGAGAGGUGAGUGGAACUGCGAGUGUAGAGGUGAAAUUCGUAGAUAUUCGCAAGAACACCAGUGGCGAAGGCGGCUCACUGGCCCGGUACUGACGCUGAGGUGCGAAAGCGUGGGGAGCAAACAGG
rnacentral:rRNA from 1 species